rnacentral:rRNA from 1 species
CACGUAGGGCGCAAGCGUUGUCCGGAAUUAUUGGGCGUAAAGAGCGUGUAGGCGGCCUGAAAGGUCAGCUGUGAAAACUCGAGGCUUAACCUCGAGACGUCGGUUGAAACCAUCUGGCUAGAGUCCGGAAGAGGAGUGUGGAAUUCCCGGUGUAGCGGUGAAAUGCGCAGAUAUCGGGAAGAACACCCGUGGCGAAGGCGGCACUCUGGGACGGUACUGACGCUGAGACGCGAAAGCGUGGGGAGCGAACAGG